AACGAACGCUGGCGGCAGGCUUAACACAUGCAAGUCGAGCGAGGACUUCGGUUCUAGCGGCGGACGGGUGAGUAACGCGUGGGAAUGUGCCCUUCUCUACGGAAUAGCCCUGGGAAACUGGGAGUAAUACCGUAUACGCCCUAUUGGGGAAAGAUUUAUCGGAGAAGGAUCAGCCCGCGUUGGAUUAGGUAGUUGGUGGGGUAAUGGCCUACCAAGCCGACGAUCCAUAGCUGGUUUGAGAGGAUGAUCAGCCACACUGGGACUGAGACACGGCCCAGACUCCUACGGGAGGCAGCAGUGGGGAAUCUUAGACAAUGGGGGCAACCCUGAUCUAGCCAUGCCGCGUGAGUGAUGAAGGCCUUAGGGUUGUAAAGCUCUUUCAGCUGGGAAGAUAAUGACGGUACCAGCAGAAGAAGCCCCGGCUAACUCCGUG
rnacentral:rRNA from 1 species